AAAAUAUACAUAAGUCUCGAUCAAUAUAUUCUCCAAACAUACUAACUCUUGGGUACAUUAAACAAACCCUACAAUACACACAAGAUUAAAAAGCUUAAUAUCUUAUGACAUGUCAACUAUAUCCGAACACAUUUCAAAAUUGUUUAAACAAUUAAAACAUAUUUAAUAAUUUCAUUAAGCAUCUUAACCAAUUCUAUUCAACCAAAAAUCAUCUUAAUCAUAUAGUUUAUUCAACAACCUAAGCAUUCAGCUUAAGAUAAUACAAAGUAAAAUAAAAAAUUAAAGAGUAAAAACCGAAACUGUCACGCUUCUCCUACUUUCUCAUUCCCAUAAGCUUUAGAGGCCUCGCCAACCUCCUUAGCUUCAAUUCAUACCAAAACAAUAAAAAUAAGUUUGUAAAACAUUAAUCAACAAUUAAAACACUAAAGUUAUUAAGAUGAUGCAAUAUGAAGAAAAACCGAGAGGCUCAUGUCGCUUCCAAAAAUCUCAUAAGAGAAUUAUUUUAUACUUAACCUAACCUUGCUAAAUUUGAUUUCUAUUGGUUUAACUAUAAUCCAAAGACCAAAACUCACCUAGAAAUUAUCAAGAACCUAACUCUUCUCAUUUUCUCUCUGUAGAACUCAUUAAUGGUAACUCACUAAAGCUUGACUAGAACUCUAAUUGAAUUAGAAAUUCUUUGUUCUAAUAACAUUCGAAUCUCAAAAACACUUUGAAUUUAAUUUGAAAACUACACAAAAACACAAAAUCAAAGUUUUCUCUCUUUAGCUUAAAACUAACCUAACUGACAAGGAAAAGAGAACAUGCUUGAUUUUCUUGAAGAAAUAUUGAUUCCUAGUAGUUUAAAUUAUCUUCAGAACCUCAAAACAUUAAAUCUCAAAUAAAUUUUCAUCAAGAAUCAUUAAAUUCCCAAAACCUCUCCAGAUUGACGUGGAAGUAAUUUUUGAAAGGAGAAAUGUUGAAUCAAGCUUAAAACAUUUGACCAAAUGAAAGAAAUUAUCAAAAUAUUGCUUACCUUGUUGGAAUUGAAAGAUUGAAAUCAAGAAUUGAAGUUGAAAUUGAGAGAAAUUUUGAGUAGAAAAUUUUAAGUAUCGUGAAAAUGAUUUUGGAGUAAUUGUCCCCUCCUCAAUUUUCAAACCUAU
rnacentral:lncRNA from 1 species